rnacentral:rRNA from 1 species
CCAAUAGCGUAUAUUAAAGUUGUUGCAGUUAAAAAGCUCGUAGUUGAAUUUCGGGAUCAAUGUUUCGGUCAUGCCGUUGGUAUGUACUGAUAUUAUUGGUUUCUCACCUUCUAAAGAACCGUAAUGCCAUUAAUUUGGUGUCACGGGGAAUUAGGACUGUUACCUUGAAAAAAUUAGAGUGUUUAAAGCAGGCUCACGCUUGAAUACAUUAGCAUGGAAUAAUGAAAUAGGACAUCCGAUUCUAUUUUGUUGGUUUCUAGGAUCGAUGUAAUGAUUAAUAGGGAUAGUUGGGGGCAUUAG